ACUGUGGAAUGAGGUGCAGGUGGGCAGAGACCAGGAGACUGCAGGGCUGACGAGGAGUGGAAACAGGUGUGUGGAACUGGCCACGCAGACAGGACAAAGGGAAAGUCUGGGGAUCAACAAGCCUUAGGAGAGGUAAAAUGGAGCUGCGUGGGCGACAGUUCCAGAUGGCUCCAUAGAAAAGUUCAGGAAAGUGGCUGUGGGCUGCUCUUUAACUGAGUGUGGUCCACCACAUUGUGAUCGGCUCAUUACCGCCCACUGAGACCAGAGUAGAAAGCACCCUCUGGUACUUGAUGGCUGGUGAGAACUGCAGUUGGUGUUUUCCACACCUUCAACAAGUGACGUGAAGUACUAAAGAAGUACCAUGAAAGGAGAGCUGUGAUCGAAGGCAGCACAGAGAGCUUAAAUAGUAAAUCCAGUGCUGAGAAAGCUGAGACCUCCUUUACCCCAAUCCAGUCCGUCCUGUGAGGAGUUACAGCUCUACAUAUACAGUAUCAUCUACACACUCCAAACAUACAGAUGUGUAUCAUGUUUUACUCACUGAAACCUUGUAAAUCCAUUUUUAGUCAAGUUUAUAUGUGAAACCUUUUCCACAUAAACUCAAACAUACAU